rnacentral:rRNA from 1 species
GGUGAUAAACCGGAGGAAGGUGGGGAUGACGUCAAGUCAUCAUGGCCCUUACGAGUAGGGCUACACACGUGCUACAAUGGCAGAUACAAAGUGAAGCGAACUCGCGAGAGCAAGCGGACCACAUAAAGUCUGUCGUAGUCCGGAUUGGAGUCUGCAACUCGACUCCAUGAAGUCGGAAUCGCUAGUAAUCGUAGAUCAGAAUGCUACGGUGAAUACGUUCCCGGGCCUUGUACACACCGCCCGUCACACCAUGGGAGUGGGUUGCAAAAGAAGUAGGUAGCUUAACCUUCGGGAGGGCGCUUACCACUUUGUGAUUCAUGACUGGGGUGAAGUCGUAACAAGGUAACCGUAGGGGAACCUGCGGUUGGAUCACCUCCU